GCCAGGCACGGUGGGGCACAUCUGUCAUCCCAGCAACUCGGGAGGCUGAGGCAGGAGGAUCGCAAGUUAGAGGCCAGCCUCGGCAACUUAGUGAGGCCCUCAACAACUUAGCAAGACCCUGUCUCUA
rnacentral:sRNA from 1 species